rnacentral:rRNA from 1 species
AACGUAGGAGGCGAGCGUUAUCCGGAGUUACUGGGCGUAAAGCGCGUGUAGGUGGCUUGUUACGUCUGCUGUGAAAUGUCCCGGCUUAACCGGGACUAGGCGGUAGAUACGGGCAGGCUAGAGUACUAAAGAGGGUCGCGGAAUUCCCGGUGUAGAGGUGAAAUUCGUAGAUAUCGGGAGGAACACCGGUGGCGAAGGCGGCGACCUGGGUAGAUACUGACGCUGAGGUGCGAAAGCGUGGGGAGCAAACAGG